rnacentral:rRNA from 1 species
AGUGAACGCUGGCGGUAGGCCUAACACAUGCAAGUCGAACGGCAGCACAGUAAGAGCUUGCUCUUACGGGUGGCGAGUGGCGGACGGGUGAGGAAUACAUCGGAAUCUACUUUUUCGUGGGGGAUAACGUAGGGAAACUUACGCUAAUACCGCAUACGACCUACGGGUGAAAGCAGGGGAUCUUCGGACCUUGCGCGAUUGAAUGAGCCGAUGUCGGAUUAGCCAGUUGGCGGGGUAAAGGCCCACCAAGGCGACGAUCCGUAGCUGGUCUGAGAGGAUGAUCAGCCAAAAUGGAACUGAGACAAGGUCCAGACUCCUACGGGAGGCAGCAGUGGGGAAUAUUGGACAAUGGGCGCAAGCCUGAUCCAGCCACACCGCGUGGGUGAAGAAGGCCUUCGGGUUGUAAAGCCCUUUUGUUGGGAAAGAAAAGCAGCAGGUUAAUACCCCGCUGUUCUGACGGUACCCAAAGAAUAAGCACCGGCUAACUUCGUG